GAUGAACGCUAGCGAUAGGCUCAACACAUGCAAGUCGAGGGACCGGCGGAUGGGUGAGUAACGCGUAUGCAACUUGCCUCUUAGCGGGGGAUACACCGGAGAAAUCCGGACUAAUACCGCAUCCUCAGAGAUAGGCAUGCGUUCCAUUAGUUAGUGGGUGAGGUAACGGCUCACCAAGGCAUCGAUGGAUCGGGGCGCGGACAGGCUGAGCCCCAACGUUGGGACUGAGACACGGCCCAAACUCCUACUGGAGGCAGCAGGGAGGAAUAUUUGUCAAUGGAGGAAACUCGGAACCAGCCAAGUCGCGUGAAGGAUGACUGUCUAUGGAUUGUAACCUUCUUUAGUAGGCGAGGAAGUAUCCUAAGAAUAAGGAUCGGCUAACUCCGUGCCAGCCGCCGCGGUAAUAC
rnacentral:rRNA from 1 species